rnacentral:misc_RNA from 1 species
AGCAGCCGCGGUAAUUCCAGCUCCAAUAGCGUAUAUUAAAGUUGUUGCAGUUAAAAGCUCGUAGUUGAAUUUCGGGGUUAGUAGGUUGGUCAUGCCUCUGGUAUGUACUGGUCUCACUGAUUCCUCCUUCCUGAUGAACCUUAAUGCCAUUAAUUUGGUGUUUUGGGGAAUUUGGACUGUUACUUUGAAAAAUUAGAGUGUUUAAAGCAAGCUAACGCUUGAAUACAUUAGCAUGGAAUAAUGAAAUAGGACGUUCGAUCCUAUUUUGUUGGUUUCUAGGAUUGACGUAAUGAUUAAUAGGGAUAGUUGGGGGGCAUUAGUAUUCAAUUGUCAGAGGUGAAAUUCUUGGAUUUAUUGAAGACUAACUACUGCGAAAGCAUUUGCCAAGGAUGUUUUCAUUAAUCAAGAACGAAAGUUAGGGAUCGAAGACGAUCAGAUACCGUCGUAGUCUUAACCAUAAACUAUGCCGACUAGGGAUCGGAUGAUGUUAAUUUUUUAAUGACUCAUUCGGCGCCUUACG